GCUCCAAUGGCGCAAUGGUAGCGCGCAAGACUUCUACGAAUGUACUAACUAAUAGUCACGUGUUAUCUUGAGGUUGAGGGUUCGAGCCCCUCUUGGAGUG
rnacentral:tRNA from 1 species